rnacentral:rRNA from 1 species
UUGUUGCUGGCCUCCAGCCGGAGGCACGUGCACGCUCUGUUCACACAUCCACUCACACCUGUGCACCCUUUAUAGUUCUGUGGCCCGGGUAACUUUGUUCCCUCGCCGUGGUUCUAUAUCUUUACAAACACGUCGUAGUUAAGUCUUGUGGAAUGUAUGCCGCGUUUAACGCAAUACAAUACAACUUUCAGCAACGGAUCUCUUGGCUCUCGCAUCGAUGAAGAACGCAGCGAAAUGCGAUAAGUAAUGUGAAUUGCAGAAUUCAGUGAAUCAUCGAAUCUUUGAACGCACCUUGCGCCCUCUGGCUAUUCCGGAGGGCAUGCCUGUUUGAGUAUCAUGAACACCUCAACUCUCACGGCUUGCCGUGAUGAGCUUGGACUUUGGGGGUCUUGCUGGCCUGCGGUCAGCUCCUCUCAAAUCAAUCAGCUUGCCAGUGUUUGGUGGCAUCACGGGUGUGAUAACUAUCUACGCUUGUGGUGUUUCCACCAGGUGUUCUCCAGCAAUGGGGGCCUCUGGAGCUAAUAAAUGUCUCUCCGGAGACAGCUUUUUGAACGUUUGAUCUCAAAUCAGUAGGACUACCGC